rnacentral:rRNA from 1 species
AGAGUUUGAUCAUGGCUCAGAUUGAACGCUGGCGGCAUGCCUUACACAUGCAAGUCGAACGGCAGCACGGGGGCAACCCUGGUGGCGAGUGGCGAACGGGUGAGUAAUACAUCGGAACGUGUCCAGUAGUGGGGGAUAGCCCGGCGAAAGCCGGAUUAAUACCGCAUACGAUCUUAGGAUGAAAGCGGGGGACCGAAAGGCCUCGCGCUAUUGGGGCGGCCGAUGGCAGAUUAGCUAGUUGGUGGGGUAAAGGCCUACCAAGGCGACGAUCUGUAGCUGGUCUGAGAGGACGACCAGCCACACUGGGACUGAGACACGGCCCAGACUCCUACGGGAGGCAGCAGUGGGGAAUUUUGGACAAUGGGGGCAACCCUGAUCCAGCAAUGCCGCGUGUGUGAAGAAGGCCUUCGGGUUGUAAAGCACUUUUGUCCGGAAAGAAAACCUCUGGGUUAAUACCCUGGGGGGAUGACGGUACCGGAAGAAUAAGCACCGGCUAACUACGUGCCAGCAGCCGCGGUAAUACGUAGGGUGCGAGCGUUAAUCGGAAUUACUGGGCGUAAAGCGUGCGCAGGCGGUUCGCUAAGACCGAUGUGAAAUCCCCGGGCUUAACCUGGGAACUGCAUUGGUGACUGGCGGGCUAGAGUAUGGCAGAGGGGGGUAGAAUUCCACGUAGCAGUGAAAUGCGUAGAGAUGUGGAGGAAUACCGAUGGCGAAGGCAGCCCCCUGGGCCAAUACUGACGCUCAUGCACGAAAGCGUGGGGAGCAAACAGGAUUAGAUACCCUAGUAGUCC